AAUACAAGCACAAAAAAAGAGAUCUGAUUAGUGAUUAGCCGCCUUAUGUGAUGUCAUCAAAGUCAUUUGAGAGUCCAACCUUGUUUUUCCAAAGGGAAUCAAGAUCUUAUUUUCUUUCAAUGCAAAGCACUAAAAGAAAAAAAAAACUGCAACGAAACAUUUUGCUACAAGUGACAAACUAUAUCAAAAGUGGACUUUGUUGCGUUUUCAGAAAAGUCUGGGCAGCAAGCUUUACGGUGGCUACUUUGUUGUUCAAAACUGUGACGCUGGAAAAUAUGUCCCAGUCAAAGCCCAUUUAAUCAUUACGUGUGAUAUAAAAACUCCUACAUGUAAAAGUCAACAACAGUACAAGCUCUUUUACUAAAUUCCACCUAGGUGUGUGUUAGCUGAGAUAAUCUCGUCUGGUUGGCAAACUUUGCUAGCAUAGAUCAAACACUGAGCCAAGUGUCAUCAUUUCCUUACAUUAAACAGCAACGCUUAGAAACUUCACGGCUCCUUUCCAAACACAUUUACACAUUAAUUCUCAUGUCUUUUUAAAAUUAUAAUAAAUGAAACAAAACUGUUCUGCUAUGUCGCAUUAACGGAUUCCAACAUGAAUGCGUAAUGACGUCUAAGCAGAAACAGGACGCAGAACGUAGUCUGCCGCAGCUCACACACAUAAACGAACAGCUAACUGCUUUGCCGACAUGAAAAUGAAACGUCCGGGUUGCGGUUGUCCGGCUGUGAACCUAACGGUCCUAACGGCGUGUGUCCAGCCGGCUGGUUGAGCUCAGAAAGGUGCAACCGCUCAAGAUCCGAGCUGGUCUUUUCAUGUUUUCAUGGAGUAUAGAAAUCAGUUAUUUGUUUAUUUUUUUCUCUCUCUCUCUCUCUCUCUUUGCGGAUUGGGGAAAAUCUAGAAACCAGCUUUCAUACUGGGAGAUACGCGAGGAGCUCCGAUGAGAGUGGUCGGAUUUUCUCCCAGCAAACGUCCAGAGGCUGUUCUGUCCCUCGUCGUGUCCCCGCUAAUUUCAUCCCCCUGCUCUCGUGUGCGGUCGGCAGAGUGUGCGUGGGCGUACGGCCCGGACAGAUGUGCGGGUCGGGCCUGCUGGAGAGAGAAGGGACUGGGAUCCGGGCAAACGGAGGGAGGAGUGAUAACGGGGACCGAGGGAGGGACGCAGAUGACGUCCGAGCACGAGGGAACGCUUGGCUGACAUGUCCGCGUUUUGUUGCCACACCGAGGAAAGUUUUACUUCUGUACCAGUUACUCACUGGUUCCAAGCCAUGGCCAUUUUACUGUAUUUCGGGGUUUUUAAUCACUACGUUAUAAAUAAUUUUCUAAAAAAUAAUUUUACUAUUGUAUACUGUUAAAACGCAUAACUUUUAUAAAUACACUGAAGAGACAUAUUUUUACGUUAGUAUCUUGUUUCCAGAGAUUUUAAAUAAGAUUUUUCAUUCUUGAGUCAACUUUUAAAUUAAAUUUCAUUGCGAGUUAAAUAUAAUCCUUUACGCAUCUUUUGUUUGAGAUUUCUCUGUGCAUUUAUUAAACAGUUUGCCCUUUU